AAAAGUGAAGAAGAUCUAGCUUCGACAUCUGUCAUUCCAUUGGCUGUCAGGGUCAAUUCAGCCACUCUGACUAGCUAUCUAGGAGUCUUCUUCACUCCCUACUCUAUUUGUACCCUUUCUGAAAUCACAUGUUUGAGGUAAAAGGAGAGCCAUUCCAGACAAAAGGAGUGUACUGUUCUUCAGUUGAGGAUAUACAAUA
rnacentral:snRNA from 1 species